GGACUCAUUAGGGAGGCAGGCAGUCAUUACCACUCACACUGUACUUCCAGGGAGACACCGAUUAUGAGAAGAGAAACUCAGCGCUGGGGAAGAAGUCACACAAAAAGAAGUGUUAAGAAUUUCCCUUUGAUGCUCUGAAGGCUAAAGGUAAUGUCCAGUAUUUUGUUCAAUAGGUUUUCAUCUUACUGAAAAGUUUCGUGAUAUUAAUGACCUUCAGCUUACUCCCUCAGGUCUUUUCUUUAUUUCUCUUUAACACAUUAAAUAAACAUUUCCAUGUAUACCUAAAAAUAAUCUAACAUUAUGAGUCAAAAAAGGAAAAAGCUUUUGUUGUCUCAGAAUAUGUCAGCCUAAUUUGGUGUUGCUGUAUCCCUUCAGCCUUCUAUUUGGGAAUAUACUAUGGUCCCUCCCCUGAUUUUUGAAGCAGUUUGGAACUCUUCUGAUCUUAUGCCCUGCCCUUUUCCUAAAUAGACAUGUUGGCUCAAAGUAAAAAAGUCAGUACCUAUCGCUCUUUAGGAAGAGCUUUACAACUAACUAUAAGAAAUAAAAAUACAUUUUUGAGGGGACAACAAAACCAUGUAGACAAGAUUUAGUGGCUACUCAUGGUCAGAAAUCUAGAAAUUCAGGCAAGAAUUUUACAAUAGAUGUGUUGCUGCAUUGUGUAUAAAGAGCUCAUACGGUUUGAAGAAAGUUUCUGAUACAAGAGGGGGCUGUAAUUACUUUGCUUCUUACAUGCAUGGUUAGAUCUUCCAGCAAGAAUAACAUGGUAGGGUAAUUUAUUACAGAGGAGUAAAUCACAGAUUACAUUAGAGGGGGUAGGGGUGGUGUGAUCCAACCAUCA
rnacentral:lncRNA from 1 species